CUGAAGCAGCAGAAAAGGAGUGUGUGUCAGUGGAGAGAGGCAAAGAGAGAGCUGAGAUUGUUAAAGAAGAGAAAAUGAUCGUUACAGAUGUUGUCUGAAUAAGCAUCACAUGAGGUUUUUCAUUUGAUCAGGAAAGGCAGAGCUGAAGAAAAGGUCUGGAAAUCAGCCCGUCUUCAUUUUGGACCUGUUAUGCCCACUGGGGGAGAGGGUGAGGACAAGCAAAGAAUGGGAUAUUAAUGACUUUCCCAUCGCACCUGGAGCAGAACUGGAACACAGUAUGCUGGCUGCUCGGGAAGUGCGCUGAGAUUUCUCCUACAGACUUAGAUUCUAAUUUCAUUUCUAAUUUGGAAUGGCUCCCAGUGCUCUGCAAGGCCUGUCUAAAUGACUAGAAGAGGCAUUGCAUAGGAUAUUGUCUUCAUCACAGUGAAAAGGAAAUUACCAAGGCAAGUGUCUUCUUUCCCUAAGGAAUAAGGAAAUCUGCGUAAUCAUGUGUGUUGUAGGUAAACAUGUCCUCCUGAUCUGAAUCUGUCCCAUGGCUGGAGAGGAUCAAUGAUAGCUUGGAAAUCAGAAUGCUCGAGUUCCUAGCUCCCAGCUGCAUCCUUGCAUUGCUCAGCCAGAUGUCAAAUUGCACAAGAUCGGGAACUCAAGGUUUUUUGCAUGACAGAGUGAUGAAUUUGUGAGACAGAAAGGGGCUUUACACUAGGGCUUUUGUAGGAUAAGCUUGCUUUUGUGUAUAAGCUUGCUUUUGAGACAAACUGCAAAACUGUUCCCCUUACUAUGUCAUAGUUUGCACUGUGGAGUGGACUCAAAGCAACCAGCUGGAUUGUGUCUGCAUGAAGCUAAACUAGAAUGUACAUUUCAGGAGUGAAUAUAAUGUGCUCUGGCAAUGAAUAAUUGUUCAGUUGUUUAGAGCUACAGUCCAAUGUAAAAUCCCUGAAACGCAUAAAGAGUAGAUGUUGGGUCCUCAGCACCAGCUGUUUCACCUUACAGAUCUGCUUCUGUUAUGUUGUGCUACUUGCUUAUAUCUGACAUUUCCUCAGUGUUCAGAAGUUUGAAAGGAGCUGCUACUAAGCUAGUCUAUUGUGUGAGUCACUUUCUGAGUUUUGGAGUAACUGGGAAGAGAACAGAGAGAAAUUGAACAGAUUGAAUCAAUCUGCACAGACUGCUUUCUCAACAAAAGCGACUGCAUCUAGGUACUUCCUAUAGAUAUGCACCAACACCCCUCUUUAGGGUAGAUAAGGAUACAAGCCAACAUGAUAAUGAGUAAAGUUUUAAAUACAUUAGAAGAUUAGUGACAAUCAUAUAACUCAGUAUUGUAUCUCUUUCCUUUCCUUUUUUUUUUUUUUUUUUCUUAUUAUUUUUUCUUAUUAUCUACUUUCUGAAAUAAAUUCAAAAGGUAUUUUUCCAAUUUAGCUUGGAAGGACUGUGAGAUAUGAAUUUGACAGCUUCCUCAGCCUUGUAUUUCCUUUGUGAUUUGAUUCUUCAUCUGUGAAACGGAAAUAGUACCUUACAAAUGUGUCAUGAAGGUAAAUUUAGUAAAUGUAUUGUGAAGCUCUCAGAUGUGCCAAUAGAACCCCUGGCUCAUCUCUCUCUCCGCUAUCAGAUUUGCUUUUUUAUCAGUUUCCCCUCACUAAUAUUAAACAGCCACUUUUCCUGUUGUAAUAUUGACAGCUUACGGUAAUUCUAAUAAUUUAAAAUACUGUUUAUUUAGUGUUUGUCAGAUGGCCUUGUCUAUCUUGUACUAUCUCGUUCUACAUGGAUAUUGCUUUAACAAGUCUCUGUUGUCUCUGCUGUCUGCCUGAAUUUCUUUUGUGAAAUGAUGUAUCUGACAUACCUGACACUUUGUCCUUGACUGAUCAAUGAAUCUGAGGACUAGAAAUCAUUUUAUAAUGUGUUUAUAAUGUGUUAAGAACUAGAUUUUCAAACUGAAGUUCUCACUUUGCAUCCAAGUUUUUUUCUGAAGCCUUCAUGUAAUUCAGACUACACAGGUACAGACUUUUCCUAGUCUCACUUUUUAUUGGGCUCAUUGAUCUGAUUAGAGCCUACCUCUGCAUACAGUUGAAUCAGCAAAACUGGAAGUGCAGAAACUGCAUAGAUCUUGAGCUAGUUUUUCCACCAGAGAAAUCAUAAAGUACUAUUGUGUCUCUUGUCAGACUGACAGUUUUAAAACUGUAUUCAGAGUAUUUUAGGGCUGAGACCUGGUGUGUACACUAAUUUGUCUCAUUUCAACCGUCUGAAAGAAGCUUCAGAUUGCCUUUGGGCUAAAAAAAGAAAAAAAAAAAAAGAAAAAAAGGCUGUUUGUGUAGGAAGAUUCUGCAUAGCCAACAGAAAGUGACAGGAAACGGCCAAGGUGAAAUUGUAAAGCAAUUUCAAGUGGAUAACUAACACCCUUAGGGAACCUUAAGUAGGGGUUCCUACUCUGGUGUAAAAUGGACAUUGUGUCAGAAGAAAAGUCUGUGAAGACCGAGAACUGGAAUAAAAGCUUCUCCUUUCCUCUCAAAUGAGAUGCAGAAACAAAACAAUACUUCUUGUAUUUAAUGUUUAAGGCCUCACUGAAUGUGUAUUUGGUAACUUCAUUUUAUUUUUCACACUUAUUUUUAACACCUAUUAAGUCGCACUUAAUCCCUUGGCAUUAACAAGGCGUGUUGCAAAUAAGCAAAAUAUUUACUAAUAGGAUCCCAAAUUAAUCGCUGUUUGUUAAGUUAAUUGAAAAAAAAUCUUAAAUAGAAAAUUUAAAGAUACUUAUUUAGAAGAUUAAUUUGAAAACAUAUGUAUCUAGAGCCAUAUAUGUAUGCUAAGCAUUCUAACUCUUUGCCUCUUUCAAAGCUUUUUGGGAACAUUCUGUGGUUGUGUAUCUGACUCUACAAUGGAGGUUUGGGGACUUCAGUUGUCCUCUAGAGUUACGCAAGUGUUUGUGCAAUAGCUUCUCUUGAUUUGCAGUUAAUAGUACAGCAAAGAAUCACUCCACAGUGUAUGCUUCAGCAACCUGAAGUCUCAAACCCCAAGAUCAGAUCCUACAAGC